GCUGUUGGUUGAGUGCGACCUGGAGAAGUAGGGCUAGUUGGGCAUUGUGGCAGCCAAGUACUCAUGGCUGCUUAGAUACUACAAUGAUCCUACAAGAGGACCACCUAGGUCAAUGAAGCACCAUAGAACCCACCACCGGUCUCCUGCACCGACAACGUUGUUGGUAAUGGGUGUUGGUCUCAGACAAUGCAUGUCCACGUAGCUUGGAGCUGCUGCCAGCGUCUUCCACCGGGGGAUCCGGCAUUGCUGCUCGGCUGGCUGUGGCCCACCACGCUUCGUGUGCGGUGGUAGGCUUGGCUGGCUCUAGGCUUCACUAAGCUCGUCAUUGUGUUGCUACUGCGGUGGCGGUGUUGUCUCGGCCUUGGCUACACCCCUCUCCGGGAAUAGUCCUGAGGAUGGAGCGGCUAUCGCUGUCUUGAGGCUGGACUUGGUUGAGUGUGACCUGGAAAAUCAGGGUGAGUCAGGCAUUGUGGUGGGCUGGUGGCCAAGUGCUACAUGUCCUUAAACACUAUGAUGAGCUUACGAGAGCACCACCAAGGGAGCAUUCCCAAGCGUCGAGCGGCCACAGGUGGGCUAAGGGAGCAAUGUUGCUGGUUCUAGGCUGUUGUUGGUUGAGUGCAUCCUGGCUCCUGGGGAAGAAGGGCAGAAGUCUGAUAGGGCUUCAAGAGAUAGGGAAAACUGCGGUAAGAA